rnacentral:rRNA from 1 species
AUACGGAGGGCGCAAGCGUUGUUCGGAAUUACUGGGCGUAAAGCGCGCGUAGGCGGUCUGUUAUGUCAGAUGUGAAAGUCCUCGGCUCAACCGGGGAAGUGCAUUUGAAACUGGCAGACUUGAGUACUGGAGGGGGUGGUGGAAUUCCCGGUGUAGAGGUGAAAUUCGUAGAUAUCGGGAGGAAUACCGGUGGCGAAGGCGACCACCUGGCCAGAUACUGACGCUGAGGUGCGAAAGCGUGGGGAGCAAACAGGAUUAGAAACCCCAGUAGUCC